GCCCCACUAACUCAUUCCGAAAUUCUUCUUCCUCCCGGGACCGAAAUUUCCCCCGAGCCUCGGGGCAUCCCCGGGCGCUUCUCUUCCUCCUCACGGGAAACAGCUCGCACGCACCUUCCGCUGACACAAUGGGCACGGCGCUGCUUACCCCGCAGCCUGGGCACACACCUCGGAGCGGCUGUGUGUCCCGAAGUUUAUUUUGGGAAAGAAGAAGGAAGCAGCUGGUCCUUCAGCUGUCCCUCAGGCACCCGCGGGAGCGCUGGGCAGCCCUGGUUAGUUUGCGGGCUGCUGGGCGUACCCUGCCCUUGGUUAUCCCGCGGCUUCCCUGCGCUGCUGGGCACGGCUGCUGCAGGGAGCGCUUGGGAAAAGAGCUUCGCACCGGGCACAGCUUCGUGGAAUCACGGAAUUACGAAGUCAUUAUGGUUGGAAAAGACCUAAGAUCAUGGGAUCCAAUCGUUUACCCAUCCACCAUAUUCACCACUAAACCAUAACCCUAAGUGCUACAGCCAUAUGUUUAUUUGAACACUUCCAGAGACUGCAAUAAAUUCCACAACUUCCCUGAGCAGCCUGUCCCAAUACCUGACCACCCUUUCACUGAAGAAUUUUUUCCUAAUAUCCAAUUUAAACCUCUUUAGGUGCAACUCGAGGCUGUGUCUUCAUCUGUCACUUGUUACUUGGGAGAAGAGACGGACCCCCACCUGGCUGCACCCUCCUUUCAGGAGGUGAUAAGUAGAGAGUGAUAAGGUUCCCCCCUGAGCCUCCUUUUCUCCAGCCUCCUUUUCUCCUUUCACCACCAGCUCCCUCAGCUGCUUCUUAUUGCAUUUUUGCUCUAGACCCUUCUCACCAGCUGUGCUAUCCUUCUCUGGACAGGCAGAAACCACAGCCAGGGAAUAUUAUAAAAGUGAUAAAAACCAGAUGCUCACACUGCCUCCAAACAGGCUCAGCAUCUCAAGUGGGUAUGCAGCAGUGUCCUCAGAGAGGAGCAGCCCUUCGAAGAUGACCUAGUGAGUGGAUUAAGACUUUUCACCCCAGAAAGGAACAGCUGGAGGAGUUCGGGAGUAAUGGAAAUGUCAAAAUCAAGAGAGGUCCAAAGUUGCAGACACAGAACAACCUUUUGAUGCUUGUGGUGAAACAAGAAAUCUGGAACAUGAAACCCACGAGUCAAAGCAAAAAAAGGGGAGACUUCAUAGGUAUGUGUGGUACUGUACUAGACCCUCUGUGGUUUCUGCAUAAAUGAGGCUAAGGCCAAAGAUGACUUUUGCAAGUGAGAGAAGAUACUCAAAGAAAAGUACCUCUGCUCUUCUAACUGCUGACUACACACAGGAGCAGCAACUGCAGGUGUUUCCUUCAACACAAGGAAAGGCACUGAAAAAUAGUGUAAAGGGGUUGAGGUGGUUCUUGUGCUUGUGUGUCAGCUCUUACCAGGCGAGGUGGGCAUCCCCUGCCACCCUGCACUGCUCUCUCAUCAAACCUCUGCCCUGAAGUGUCACAGAUCAGGGAGACCUGGCUUUGAGCAUCCCUCCCAAAUCCUGCUUCCAGACACUCAGCACAGGCCUAUGGUGUGUGGGUAUUACAGACCCAAUGCUCAGACACUCAGCUGAGGGUGACUUUGGCUCAGGGACAGCACAUCAGUUUUGUUUGCCUCUGAUCCGUUUUCUGUCCACUAGAGAGCACUCAAAUACCACCUAUGGACACGGGAUGGGCACUGGUGCUGACUGCAGUCUCCAGCUGUGCCUCAUAGUGCUGGUUUUGCAUGCAGUAGAGUUAAUUUUCUUCAUAGCAUCUGCUAAACCUUGACACUCCCCUUUUGGGAGCCCACUGCCCAGCCCCUGUUUGGCACCAUUCCCUCACACACACAAUCCCACCAACUCCAGGGUAACCCUCAGCUUGUGCCCAAAACCUGACUCUGGGACCAGUUACACUGGGAUUUUCUACAGAGCUGAAGUCAGUUAGAGAUGUGUUUGCAGUUAGGACUGUUGUCUGUAUUUACUUUUGAUAUACAAUUUACUCCCAACAGUUAACUUUCACUGACACACAGCCCAGAGGGAUUUUCUCAGCCACCAGCCUCAGCAUGGGCCUAGUGGUAUGAAAAAGGGGAAUAAUUGCCACCUGUGCUCCAGGACUGCUCACCAGCCAUCUCCAGCAGGCACUGAGGUCCCACAAAGGGUUAAAGCAAGGAAGAAAAACCUCUCAGAGCCUGUUAGAAUAUUGAGUGAUUUGUGGCUGGGGUCUGUUCAUUCUGUUCCAUGCAAACGGACUGCAGCCCUACAGUUUAAUCCCUCUCUGUUCUUCACAGGGGCACGGGGAGAUGAAGGGUCUCCAUCAGGGUCAAGGUAUGACCCCAUGAACUCAUCCCAGGGUCAUGUCUGUCUCCUGUACACUGAGCAGGGACCACCUCUUUCAGCACUGCAUCCCUGCCUGGGUGUGAUUCUUGGCAGCUCAUGGAUUUGCUUUUCAUCUCCUCAAAGCAGCAGGAGAACAACAGUGAGUUUAUAAGCCCAAAGGAAAUUGUCCACCAAGUUUUGAAUCCCUGGCAGAGGACUCUAACUGUAGUCAUGGCAGGAUGAGGGGAAAUCAGAGACCUGCUUAGGGUAUAGUAAAUAAAAUGUGGGGGAAAAAGCAAGGGCAAAGGAACAUAUUUAAAAACAAAAUAAAUCAGCUAUGGAAACAGUUUAAAAGGUGAACAUGGAACUUUUUUCCAGCCUUGAUUUGGGAGAGAUGCAAUAUAAUUUCAUUACUGAAAAAGGCUGCACUAAGAGUCUAGUGAGAUGAUCACUAACACUGUUUGUUUUCAGAUGACAAUUACAAAACCCAGAUGUGAACCACUAGGAGAUUUUAUAUUAGGACUGGGCUUCUCAGUGAGUUUCAAAGGUAGCCAAAAUGGUAGAUUUAAAGUUCACUCUUGUUAUAUGAUGUGGUAAGGUUGUUGAUAGCUUGUCAUGGCAGUCUUUUAAUCUACACACCUCCUAAGCUCAGUAUAGAUUUAUUCUGGAGAGAAGGGAGCAGAGUUAUAGAGCUGUUAUUCAUUAUGUCUCAUGCUUUCCUCCCUGCUUUAAACAUUUAACCUGUAAUGUGAUGAGCCACAUGUCAGGAAUAAUCUAGUAUAAACCAUAGGUAAUCCCUGCUGAAAGAUAAGCCUGGCUCUUGACCUGCUGCAGCCCUGGAAUUAAAAUUCCACCUCUCUUAAGUUUGGGGGUCCUAGGUAAAUCACAGAUCAGUUUCAUGGUAGCCAGUGAGGAAGA